rnacentral:rRNA from 1 species
GACGAACGCUGGCGGCGUGCUUAACACAUGCAAGUCGAACGGAAAGGCCCUGCUUUUGUGGGGUGCUCGAGUGGCGAAAGGGUGUGUAACACGUGAGUAACCCGCCCCUGACUUUGGGAUAACUUCAGGAAACUGGGGCUAAUACCGGAUAGGAGCUCCUGCUGCAUGGUGGGGGUUGGAAAGUUUCGGCGGUUGGGGAUGGACUCGCGGCUUAUCAGCUUGUUGGUGGGGUAGUGGCUUACCAAGGCUUUGACGGGUAGCCGGCCUGAGAGGGUGACCGGCCACAUUGGGACUGAGAUACGGCCCAGACUCCUACGGGAGGCAGCAGUGGGGAAUAUUGCACAAUGGGCGGAAGCCUGAUGCAGCAACGCCGCGUGCGGGAUGACGGCCUUCGGGUUGUAAACCGCUUUCGCCUGUGACGAAGCGUGAGUGACGGUAAUGGGUAAAGAAGCACCGGCUAACUACGUG